rnacentral:misc_RNA from 1 species
GAAGAAUACGAGCUUCAACAGAAGCAAGCUUCUCACUUAUCUUAAUUCCAAACUCCUUUGCAUAUGGAUCAUUUUGAUAUGCAUUAUGACGUACCGUCUGCAUAAUAUCUUCUUCUCUAUCUUUUGGCCGUUGGCAUGUAACCUUGAGCAGAGCAGUUAUUUGUCUUUCAUUGAGCCUUUUGGAAUACCUCUGGCCUUCAACAAUCUUACAUACUUCCAUGGGUAGAUAGUUAGGUCUCUGCUGAUUCCCUACUUGAAGACAAGGCCACUGGGUAUGUUGGAUAACAAACCCAUAUGUUUCAUAGAAGUACUCAACCACCGACUUCAUAGUACCUCUUUCAUCAACUGGGAAAGUUAGCUCCCUUGUUGCUUGUGAUGUCAAACCAGAAAUGCGAUAUUUUCUGCGCAUAUUCCCACGGUGUGUCACUUCAACCUUGACACCUCGGAGAGCCUUUUUU